UUUAUCACGCGUGGAAUGCACGCGCACGAGAAGGGAAGAGUGAAGUUUGAAAUUAAACUAGGCAAAAUUAAGUAAAGAGAAGAAAAGAAGGGUUUGGUUUGCGUUGUGGUUGGUGGUCACUGAUCUUGCUUGAGUGGGUUAUUAUGAAGUCGUAUAGAUUGUCAGAACUGGACGACACUGAGCUUCGUAGCCUAAUUGCUCGUCCUCGUAUCGAUUUCACUUCUGUUUUCUCUCUGGUCAACCCCAUUCUUGACCAUGUUCGACAAAGAGGCGAUGCUGCUGUCAAAGAAUAUACUUUGAGAUUCGACAAAGUUCAAUUGGAUGACAUUGUUCAACUUGUCGCCGACCUUCCAGAUCCACUGCUUGAUGCGCAUGUUAAGGAAGCUUUCGAUAUCGCCUACAGCAAUAUAUAUGCCUUUCAUGCUGCUCAGAGGACUCCAGAAACAAAUGUUGAGAACAUCAAAGGAGUCCAAUGCAAGCGAGUUUCAAGAAGUAUUAAUACUGUGGGCCUUUAUGUUCCAGGGGGAACUGCUGUACUACCUUCAACAGCCCUGAUGCUUUCAGUUCCUGCACAGAUUGCUGGAUGUAAAACUGUCGUUCUUGCUACUCCUCCAGCUCAGGAUGGCACUAUAUGCAAGGAGGUAGUGUAUUGUGCAAAGAAGGCAGGGGUUACUCACAUCCUCAAAGCUGGAGGAGCUCAGGCCAUAUCUGCCAUGGCUUGGGGAACUGAAACUUGUCCCAAGGUUGAGAAGAUUUUUGGCCCGGGAAACCAAUAUGUCACAGCUGCAAAAAUGAUUCUGCAAAACAGUGAAGCCAUGGUUUCAAUAGACUUGCCAGCCGGUCCAUCCGAAGUUUUAGUUAUUGCUGACAAGCAUGCGAUACCUCGUCAUGUAGCUGCCGAUUUGCUUUCCCAGGCUGAGCAUGGCCCUGAUAGUCAGGUUGUGCUUGUGAUUGCUGGUGAAGGCGUGGAUUUGAAUGCUAUAGAGGAGGAACUCAGCAAGCAGUGCCAGAGUCUACCAAGAGGAGAGUUCGCUGCUAAAGCCCUGACCCACAGUUUUAUUGUUCAUGCACAUGAUAUGCUUGAGUCAAUCAAUUUCUCAAACUUAUAUGCACCUGAGCAUCUAAUUGUCAAUGUGAAGGAUGCAGAGAAGUGGGAGGGUUUUAUUCAGAAUGCAGGGUCUGUAUUUUUAGGGCCGUGGACACCUGAGAGCGUUGGUGAUUAUGCAAGUGGGACAAAUCAUGUCCUUCCCACUUAUGGUUAUGCAAGGAUGUAUGGUGGUGUUUCAUUGGAUUCUUUCUUGAAAUACAUAACAGUGCAAUCUCUCACAGAAGAAGGCCUCAGAAAACUUGGGCCAUAUGUAGCAACCAUGGCAGAAGUUGAAGGUCUCGAUGCCCACAAGCUGGCAGUUACCCUAAGACUUAAGGACAUAGAAGGCAGGCAGGUUUCAUCAUGACAUGAUAAUUUACGAGUCGUCGUUGAGUUUCUGGAGGGAUCGUAUGGGAGAAAGUGAACUGUGCUCAAGAGCUUUGAUACCAUAUUUGAAAGCUAGAAUUCAGAGAAACUGAAGUGAAAAAACGUUGGACCAUGGUUUUCUGUUAAGGAUGAUGGGUAAAAGUUUUGGCAAGUCCUAAUGUGAAGGGAAUGAUGACCAAAUAAAGAAACAUCCAAUAUGUAGUAGCGAGUUAAACAGCCGUUCAUGGUCUCUUGGACACAAAACCUCCUCUGCUCUCAACAAGAGCUUUUUCCUUCUCUGGAUCAUGGUCCACAGUAAGUGGGUUUGCUCGACCAUUUUUGCAUGAUAUUGCUCUAGAAUCACCAACAUUGGCUACCAGUAGCUUUACUCCAUUGACUAAUAUUGCUG